rnacentral:rRNA from 1 species
UACGUAGGGGCAAGCGUUGGUCCGGAAUCAUUGGGCGUAAAGAGCGUGUAGGCGGCCCGGUAAGUCCGCUGUGAAAGUCGAGGGCUCAACCCUCGAAUGCCGGCGGAUACUGUCGGGCUAGAGUCCGGAAGAGGCGAGUGGAAUUCCUGGUGUAGCGGUGAAAUGCGCAGAUAUCAGGAGGAACACCUACGGCGAAGGCAGCUCGCUGGGACGGUACUGACGCUGAGGAGCGAAAGCGUGGGGAGCGAACAGG